UUGAGUCAAAAGUGUCACCUAUUCAGUGUCCGACCAACUGUGAAAUAUGGUCACAAUCUCCCCUCCUGUUCCUGAGUAAUGGUAUUGAAUAACGGCCAAAAAAUCCAGGUCAUUAUGAUGUCACAGUGAAGUUGACCUUUGACCUUUUGGGUAAAAAAAAAUGUCACCACUUCAUCGUUGAUCCCAUUAAACAUCUGUGUGAAAUUUUGUCAUAAUUGCCGCAUCAAUUCUUGAGUUAUGGCCAAAAACAUGUUUGUCACGGUCAUUAUGAGGUCACAGUGACCUUUAAGUCAAAAGUGUCACCAAUCCAUUGUACAACCAACUGUAAAAUACGGUCAUCAAUUCUUGAGUUAUGGCCAAAAACAUGUUUUGUGAGGUCACAGUGACCUUGACCUUUGACCUUUAAGAACCAAAUUCUAAUCAGUUCAUCCUUGUGUCCAAGUAGACGUUUGUGUCAAAUUUGAAGAAAUUCCCUCAAGGUGUUCCUGAGGUAUCGCGUUCACGAGAAUGGGAGGGACAGACGCACAACCCGAAAACAUAAUGCCUCCGUCUGUCGCCGGCGCAGAGGCAUAAAAACUAAAUGAAUCGGAAAAAUUGGUCGAAACAGGCAUUUGCAUUUAUUCCUGUGUGAUGGUGAAAGCGAAGAUAGCCUUGCAAGUUUUCUCUUUUCGUGAGCUUUGCUGUUUCCUGAAGGUGCUUACUCUAUUUGAUGCUAGUCAUUAAAAUUUGAUGUUGUGAGUUGAAAGAGACCAAAACACAGCGCAGACUCUAUAGGAAUUCCUCAGACAGCAUUUAAACAUUGAACACAGGGGAUAUUUCAAGCAAUCAUCAAUCAGAGAACUGUUUUGAGAUGCAAAUUAAAUGUGUCCUCCCAAUUCUAGAUUACUGAGUUGAAGAUUACCAUGUGAGGCCUGACAAGUGUCACAAUAUAAACUGUUUUCUUCUCUUUUACAAUUUCUGAAAAGUGACUCGCCAGCUGUAUGGAGUCGUAAUUGGUGGCAAAAUGAGCUGUACACUGAAGACUGCUGUCUGACUGCCUGAACUCCUCUCAGGCCUGGAAGGCAUUUACAGGUGUCGACACAAUAAAAGCAACUGCUGUAUACAGUAUGAUGCAACCCGCUAACAGAGUCCUGCAACAAAUACUAACAUUGUGAAGCUUGCAAUGGUCAGUUUGUGUUGACACUGUGUCCUAGGAGGCAUUGAUUCAAUUAUUUGCUCAUUUUUGAGGCAACAGAUUCAAUUGUAUUCUAAAGUGUAGAAUACACUGAAAUUCCUGAAAUUUAGGGUUAUGGUUAAAAAAAAUAACAAAUCAGCGCACCUUUUAAAAAUAUUGCAGUCAAAUACACCACCACUACCUAUGACCAUACAAUUAAAUCAGCACCUCCCUUGCUUUACAAAGGUAGCAUUUCUCGCAUUGCUAUUGUCUUGGAUUGCAUUAGAUUGUACAUUUGUAUUGGGUCCACUCCCUAUUUCUGUAUUUUAAAUGUUUUAAAGAGACUGUGGAGGUACAUACAGUUAUCAUUCUGCCAACAAAUGCUUUGGAUUAGUGUUUUAAAAAGUCUAUGUGUGAAUGAAGCUGCAGAAGUUGUGUUACCAUCACACUCCACUCCCUGCAGUGUACUGAGUAACAGCCUGCGGGGAGGUGAGAUAGUAGCGAGCGUAGCAGUGGUGGAAGAAGUUUUUACAUCUUUUACUCAACUUAAACUCCACUGGGACGCCUAUUUCUUUGGCCAACAUUACUGUCUUUCAGAGGCUGUAGCGAGCUCAGUUUUAAAGCUAGAGUGAACAACACAGUAUCAUAUGAAACUAGAUGCCCUAAAGCAUCCAUUGGUACCAUGUUAUGCUAGCUUGUCAGGAAGGGGGCUAAACAAAGUUAGCUAAAUUAAUGGCCAUUUUCAAAGGAGUCCCUUGGCCUCUCACCUCAAGAUAUCUGAAUGAAAAUGCAUUCUAUGGGUACCUACGAGUCUCCCUUAACAGGCCCACUUUAUGCUAAUCGCAUGCAGUUUUUUGCAUGCAAUAUAAAUGUGUUAUUUUCGUGUUAUUUAUUCUAAAAAUGGUGUAUUUGAAUAUUUCUACAUAGUGGGGUCCCUAAACAGUAUUGGAAUUGGGCAUGACUGGGAUUCUGAGACUCUUGUGGAUUCAACGAGCCCAAUUGUAUUCAUGUGUGAUGAUGUUAGUCCCAUAGCAGCCAUUUCAUUGUAGUGAGACCAUUUUUUGAAACUUGACCUCACUGUAUAAAAUGACCUAUUGUGACCUCUAGGAUAAUCACAGCCUCAUGAAACUUUACAACCGCAAACUAGAGACCAUGGGCAUUCAGAGGAUGUAUGGCUUCCCUAGGUAUAUUGACAAUAAGUGGGGUUUCUGAGCAAUUUCCAGAACAGAAGUGCUCGCCAUCAAAAUUGCAAAUGCAACUGCAAUUCUUACAGAAAUCACCAAAUGUCAAAUGUUUUUGAUACCAAAUCACAGCAUGAUUUUGUCAUAUUUAUCAAUUCUCAAGUGGUCAAAAAUUGUGUAACAAAUGGUAUCAUCCCAAAAAACUGCUGCAACUUAUAAGGCAUAAUUGAGCAUGCGAAUGGCCAUAAUAAACUUCUAUCAUAAUAAAGCCCUUAUACACAAAAUUUGAAUAGGCGCCUAACCAAAACACAAUGUUCAUUACUGAUUUAUGACUAGAAAAAUAUGACACACAGUGCUGCACUGGAUCUCAAAUUAAUCUUCAGGUUCCCAGCUUUCAGAUGAUCUAUACUUCUUAUGUGGCAUAGACUGUUGACCUGCUGUCUCCCCCUAAAGAUUCCCUGUCCCCCCCUAAAAAAGACAAAAAUGGGUCCAUGGUAGGGAGGGGUGGAGUCGAAGAGGUUAAGUCAAAUAAGUAAUACCACAAUGUCCAGCUUUCAGAAUCUUUCUUAAGUAAAACUACAGUAUAGUACAGUAAAAGUAUUAUCAGCUAAAUGUGCUUAAAAAAAAUCUGGUAAAAGUACUGGUUAUGCGGGAAAAUGGCUGUUGUGUUAUAUAUCAUUAUCUAUUAUUGGAUUGUUAAUAAUUAAUACUGAUGCAUUAAUGUGUAAGAAGCAUUUUACUGCUCUAAUUGGUCGAGGUGGAGCUAAUUUUAACUACUUUAUAUACUGUUGGGUAGUCACUCUAUAAGCUUCACUGCACUUCUGAGCUCUGUCUGUAGCAUGAUCUGUUCUGCCCGACCCCAGUAAAUUGUGCAGCCGUAGCAUUGCAGAUUGAUUCAAUCCAUCGUCAAUUCUAAAUUAAAUUGACUGUGCUAACUGUGUCUGUCUGUUGUUUGGUGCUAAGCAAGUAGUGUAUAGUGGGUUUUUAGAGGGUUUUUUUUUGCUGAAAAUGGCUGCCUGCUGCGGCCCAAGACCCUGCUAUGAGAGCGGUGAGAGUGAAUCAACACAGUAAAGCGGAGACAAAAAACAGCCGCGGCCUGAACGGGAGCGAGAUCCCACGAGAAAGCGGCGACAAACGGGGCACUGUGGCGAGGUGGUGACAGUUCACACAGCGAGACUGGAGAGGAGUCCACCCGAGACAAAAAGCAGAGGCCCUUUGUCUCACAGCUGGGGAAAGUGUGGCUCAAAGCUGUUUAAAUGUUAUGGCGGGUAGGAAUGGUUCUUAUGAGCCCCGGGUCCGGAGUGCACAUUACAUGUUAAUGACUUGGAACACAGACAGCAGAGCAGAGGCUCAAACUGCCAAUUAAGCAUAUGCUGCAGACGCCACUGGUGUUCAGACACAACCAUCUGAUAGCGCUCAAGCUUGGCCUGCAGAUCUGAAUCUCUCCAUGGGACGUGGAGGCACUCCAAUGUUCCCCACUGUUGGAUGAAAACAACCAUUCUUGAAUCAUGGCUAAUUGGUUUCAAGCAAUGGAAAACCCACUGUCUAACAAUGCCCACUGAGCAUUAUUAACAGCCAGUUACAGAAGGUAAAUCCUCAUCAGGACACAGGUGACACUUGGGAACAGCUGGCCAGCCUUUCUGAGCUCGGUGCGUCACUUUACAGGCGUCACAGAGCAAAUAUCCAGCAGUCAACUGUCCAAGAGGCAGUCUGAGGCCAGUUUAUGUGAAGAGGUGAGACUGGAGAAGCUUUAAUGUAAGUUUUAUCUUACGUGCACAUGUCCAAUGUCCAUAUCCAACUGGUGCUGUUGGCAGAACAUCUUGUUGUGCAGGAGAAAUGCAGAGUUCAUGGUUCAGGGUUUGUGCUAAUUUUGUGAAAUUUUAUAAGACGGUUUUGUUUCUUGGCUCUGGGCAAGACCACCUCUGAGUCCAAUUCAAUUUUAAGAUUCAGAUCCAGUCCUGCUUGAAUGUAGGCCAUGACCAAAGAAAAUUCUUGAGGCUCAUCAGAU